rnacentral:rRNA from 1 species
AUUGAACGCUGGCGGCAUGCCUUACACAUGCAAGUCGAACGGCAGCACGGGUGCUUGCACCUGGUGGCGAGUGGCGAACGGGUGAGUAAUAUAUCGGAACGUGCCCAGUCGUGGGGGAUAACGUAGUGAAAAUUACGCUAAUACCGCAUACGAUCUAUGGAUGAAAGCGGGGGACCUUUGGGCCUCGCUCGAUUGGAGCGGCCGAUAUCAGAUUAGGUAGUUGGUGGGGUAGAGGCUCACCAAGCCAACGAUCUGUAGCUGGUCUGAGAGGACGACCAGCCACACUGGGACUGAGACACGGCCCAGACUCCUACGGGAGGCAGCAGUGGGGAAUUUUGGACAAUGGACGCAAGUCUGAUCCAGCCAUUCCGCGUGCAGGACGAAGGCCUUCGGGUUGUAAACUGCCUUUGUACAGAACGAAAAGGUUUCUACUAAUACUAGGAGCUCAUGACGGUACUGUAAGAAUAAGCACCGGCUAACUACGUGCCAGCCGCCGCGGUAA